rnacentral:tRNA from 1 species
GCUCCCAUGGCGUAGUGGUCACUGCACUCGCCUUGCACGUGGGAGACCCGGGUUCGAUUCCCGGUGGGGUCA